UCGGCUUGAGUAACGAAAACAUUGGUGAGAAUCCAAUGCCCCGAAAACCCAAGGUUUCCUCCGCAAGGUUCGUCCACGGAGGGUGAGUCAGGGCCUAAGAUCAGGCCGAAAGGCGUAGUCGAUGGACAACAGGUCAAUAUUCCUGUCCUACCCCUUGUUGGUACGGAGGGACGGAGGAGGCUAGGUUAGCCGAAAGAUGGUUAUAGGUUUAAGGACACAAGGUGACCCUGCUUUUUCAGGGUAAGAAGGGGUAGAGAAAAUGCCUCGAGCCGAGGUCCGAGUACCAAGCGCUGCA
rnacentral:ncRNA from 1 species